GACGAACGCUGGCGGCGUGCCUAACACAUGCAAGUAGAACGCUGAAGGAGGAGCUUGCUUCUCUGGAUGAGUCGCGAACGGGUGAGUAACGCGUAGGUAACCUGCCUGGUAGCGGGGGACAACUAUUGGAAACGAUAGCUAAUACCGCAUAAUAGUAGAUGUUGCAUGACAUUUGCUUAAAAGGUGCAAUUGCAUCACUACUAGAUGGACCUGCGUUGUAUUAGCUAGUUGGUGGGGUAACGGCUCACCAAGGCGACGAAACAUAGCCGACCUGGGAGGGGGGACGACCCCACUGGGAGUGAGACACGGCCCCAGCUCCUGCCGGGAGCAGCAGGAGGGGAACUUCGGCCAAGGACGGAAGUCUGACCGAACCACGCCGCGUGAGUGGAGGAGGGUUUCGGGUCGUCAAGCUCUGUUGUAAGAGAAGAACGGGUGUGAGAGUGGAAAGUUCACACUGUGACGGUAUCUACACAGAAAGGAACGGCUAACUACGUG
rnacentral:rRNA from 1 species